rnacentral:tRNA from 1 species
CGGCGACGAGGCGCAGGCACUGGCCGCCCGUCACGCGGCGUGGCUGGGGUCGAUCCCCGGCACCCCCGGUUCCGACCGGGGACGUCCG